rnacentral:miRNA from 1 species
UACACCUCAUCGACCAGAAGGAAUCCCUUCCAGUUGAUGAGGUGUAACAACCUCAUCAACCGGAAGGAAUCCCUUCCGGUUGAUGAGUUGUA